UACGAGAGGCCCAAACGUUAUUCGGAAUUACUGGGCUUAAAGGGUUCGUAGGCGGCAUGAAAAGUCGGGUGUGAAAGCCCUCGGCUCAACCGAGGAAUUGCGCUCUAAACUGUCGUGCUCGAGGAACCUAGAGGUGAGCAGAACAGAUGGUGGAGCGGUGAAAUGCGUUGAUAUCAUCUGGAAUACCGGAGGCGAAGGCGGCUCACUGGGGGUUUUCUGACGCUGAGGAACGAAAGCCAGGGUAGCGAACGGG
rnacentral:rRNA from 1 species